GGCGGCGCGUGGGCGGGCGCACUGCUGGCGCUGGCGGCGCUGCUGGCGCUGGUGGCCGCCGCACUCUAUAUCCUGCACAGGCGGAGACACGGUGCGUUCGUGCACGCACGUCUGGCAGACAACGUGGAAAUCAACAACCCGAUGUACCUCGCCGGGGAGGACGAGCCCGAACACCGGCAGCCCACCGCGCACACGAACGGAGGAAAUCACUUCUCAAACCCAGUAUACGAGAGCAUGUACGUGCCACAACAAAUACCCACAGAGGAGCACGCGAACUUACUGGAUGCAAGUGUAGCUGAAAGUUCGUCCCCGCCGCCCGAGCGAUCCGCACUGCUAUGAACGUAAACCGGUCUUCUACCAUCAGGAUCAGGACCAGAUCGCCACCAGGACCGAACUGACAGGACCCCUGGUGACUCAUAGUUUUAAGUACUACAGCGCUCGACCAUGACCGUCAGUAAUGUGCCAAUUGUAAGAAAAUGUAAAAUUGUGCACAUUAUGUAAACGGGAUCAAUUGAAAUUGAUAAUAUUGUAGU